CCUACGGGAGGCAGCAGUAAGGAAUAUUGGACAAUGGCCGCAAGGCUGAUCCAGCCAUCCAGCGUGCAGGAAGAAGGCCCUAUGGGUUGUAAACUGCUUUUGUCAGGGAAGAAACCUAUGGAUUUACUCCGUAGCUGACGGUACCUGAAGAAUAAGCACCGGCUAACUCCGUGCCAGCAGCCGCGGUAAUA
rnacentral:rRNA from 1 species